UUCUCAUUACAGCCUUAAAAACUACGAUGACGGUUCUCCUUGAACAUCACAGAGUGGUUCCAAAGCCUUCACUUAAAGUGACCUUGCCUCACAGUGUUCAUUCCUCUUUGGGGGAUUUAAAGGCUGGUUGAGUAGACCAGUUCUUCCCAGGGAAGUCAGAAAAGGAGUCAGGAAACAUGUCCCGCACAAAGCUGAAAGAGAGGAUUUUAAGAAGAGGAGGGAAAAAGCUCUUGAAAUCAAGGAUUUUCACCUUGACUUUGGAGUCACAUCUGUUCUCACUGCAAAGCAAGACAGGCGGAGGAUCUCCUGGUUCUGUCUGUUCCCCAGGGACCUCUAUGGCAGGGUUUCUGAGACAGUGAUGCUGGAUUGCAGCCCCCAAUGGCCCAACUUCUUCCACAGGAUCUCAGGGAAGCCCAGCAGAAAGAUGAUGGAUGGAUGGGGAGAAGCCGGUACCUACAGAUCAAUAUUUUCAAGGCAAUCCAGCUGACUGGUGAAGCAAAGGGACUCUAGAGCUUGGUGCCCUGCACGAACUAUGUGAACUGGAACAACCUGAGGUUGCAGCUUGGCCUGCCACUAACUCCAGGAGAGCUGGAGAUGUUCAGUACCUUGUGGACUAAAGCCCUUAUCAUUCCCCUGCGCUAUAGUGGAUACAAGUGUUGCUUAAGAAGCCAAGAAAAAAAAGACAGCUUAAAACACAGAAGGAUUAAAAGGAUGAUUACUUAUGAAACACUCUUCUCUUCAUACAGGAAAAUUGCUUGAUUGCUUUGGGCUGUGUGCAGAGGUCACUUCAUAUCAUUUGGUUCUGUGGCCAUGACCUCUUUUAACUCCUGUUACAGAGAAUGAGGAAGAGAGAACUGAUGGGAGAGGAUCAGAGCCCUCAUUGCAGGCUUCACAGAAAUGCCCAGACCACCCUAUAGGACCAUUAGUCACCUCUUGCAAAAACAAACCAGCCAGUGGGUGACAUUUCCACCGCCCCAAAUUUCAUUGCUCUCUAUCACUGAAACAUAAAGAUCCAUCUUAUUGCCCACUGGAAUUUGCCAAAUUGCUUUAAUCUCUGCCCCUUCUUUGAAUAGCUGGGUUUUCCCUGGAUCUUCACACAGCAUGACUUCAAGGAUCCUAGUGAGACCUACCUCAUGCAGCUCAGCUUCUCAGGACUCUGAAAGAAGUCAGCCAUGCUAUUAAUGCAAGUGGCAUUUUCUCUGACAAGAAGGGGAUGGAGGAACAGAGAGAGAUGAAUGGGGUAGGAGUGCACAGUAUAGGAAAACAGAUUCUCUGUACAACUGAGUAACUUUUGAACAUGUUGGCACAUUCUCCUCUGAGAAUGAUUUCUCCCUCCGUUCUAAAUUGUGCAGUCCUACCAAUUACCUCGCUCUUCUUUAUCUGUAAACAUUUAAGUAUCUGAACCUGCCUCAACGUCACAAACAGAACAGGAUGACAGGAGAAAACACCCAGUCAUUCUGAGUCUUCCCCAAAGGAAUAUUGUCCCC
rnacentral:lncRNA from 1 species